ACCCAGAAGCUAGAACCUUAAUGAGGUAUUAACUAAUUGGCUUACUAAUAUGAUCCAUCCUCAAUUUAGAUAAAAUAUAAAAUAUAAAUUAAGGAAAUUAACAAUACUAAUUAAUAGAUAUCUAAUUAACUAAUAGAUAAUUUCAUAAUGAAUUAUUGGAAGGGUGAAUAACUAAAAUAACGAGUUUAAUAUUAAACAUCGGUUAAAACAAGAAUCUUGAACAUCACUAACAGAAACAGAAGAGGAAAGCUGUAUACUAUUGGUCCAGGUGGGAAUCUGAAAUUUCAUUGGCUGAGAGAAAUAAGUCCCGCCUCCGCGAAAUAAAACCGUGCGACGCAGCUGAGCGAGAGGAGAGACAAACGGCUGUGCAGCACGCAGAUACAGAAAGCAAAGACUGAGCGGUUAGAGAGAGAGAGAGAGAGAAAAAAAACAACGGUCGAGGCCGUGAAGAACCCUGAUUUGGGUGCCGCAUAGAUAGAGGGAGAGGCGGACUUGACUCCUUCUAAUAAGAGCUAGGAACUUGGAACCAACGCGAUUUGUGUGGAGACGACAGAGUGAACCAAUCCUCUGUAGGAGGGAACCGUUGGAGCGCGUUGGUGAGUGAAUGAGAUUAAAUUCAGUAAAUUAUUAAAUUCAAAAAGCUAAUUACAGCAACCGAGGUGACAGCAGUGGGCUGCUAGACGUUAGAUCCCAGGAGUUAACAUCUCAAACUACCAGUUAACGGUGGUAGGGCAUAUAGGAGUUAACGGCUCAAACCGCCAGUUAACGGCGGUAGGGCAUAUGGGAUUCCCAGGAGUUAACGGCUCAAACCGCCAGUUAAUGGUGGUACGGCCUAGAUGUACAAGGUCCUCAGGGGCGUUAUAGCUAACGCCAUAGAAUUAGCAAUGCGUCCCUUAACCAAACAUUUAAUAAUAAAAAAAUAGAUAAAUAAAAAUAAAUAAAAGCUAACUGAUUAGGGAGGAAUUAUUUUACAAAGGUGGACCAAAGGACCAGAAUUUAUAUUUUGUUGAAUUUUGUUAUAGAACAUUUUAUUUAUUUAUUUAUUUAUUUAUUUAUUUAUUUAUUUAUUUAUUUAUUUAUUUAUUUAUUGUGUUACAGAUAUACAAGGUGUCACAAUGCUGUAUAGAAACACAACUAAAUGUAUCCUUGUUGUCAUGAAUGUAUUUCUUGUUGAAUAGUGUAGAGUAAUAGAAUCUAACUGAGCCUAUUGAGCUGAACAAUUGUUGUCAUAUGUAAUUAUAUUUCCAGAGCUACUGAGAAUUAUUUUAAUAGACAAUCAAAUUGAUGUUAUGUUAGUUGAACUGUGAACCCAAACAUGAUUGGCUAUGCCAAUAGAGUGAAGCAUUUGUUUAAGUCUGUAAGACUUUAUGCUGUGAUGUGACGAGAAGGGUCGAUGCCAACUCGCUAACAGUCCUGUUGUUUACAGGCUGGGUUUUUUUUUUUCCUUGGGUUUGAUCCCGACUCCUAUGAUCACUCACUUGGAACGAGAACUGGAUUUCUUCCUGACGAGGGAGAUGGCGAGCCUUAACCACUGAACGAACCAGGACAUCUCAAGUAACUGAAGAGCAGACUGCUCUCUUCUGUGAACAAUCUCAACGGUGUGGUAGGAAAAAAUCGCACCACCGGACUGACUUUCACCCCAAGCGUGGGGAUUUGACUUGACGCCGGCUGACUUGUGACUCAUAUGAUCAAAUCUCAUACCGACCAUUUUACUAUUGUCGAUUGUUUUCAUCUGUUUUUAUGUGUUAUCUUUAUGUGUUAUAUCUCCCAUUAUUAUUAAAAUUUAGUAUAUAAACCGUUUCAUGCUAUA